AUGCCAAAUGUUGACAGUGUGAAAGUGGCAGUUCGAGUGAGACCUUUCAGUCAGCCAGCUCAGCUGAAUUAUCCUUGGCAGUGCUUCUCGAGGAGAAAAGAAAGCAAUACCAAUAAAAAAAAAAGGGAUUAGAUGUUUAAUAACUUUCUAAAGGAUUGUAACAGUCCAGUAACUUUUAUUUUAAAGGAGUUUUAAUCCAGUUAUACAUUAAAAUGUUUUCCUCUAAAUUACUCGGCUAUUUAUAUUCAAUGUGCUGUUCUUCGGUGCUGAUCAGGUUCCCAUAGGUAGAUUUUGAAAAGAAUGGGAGUAUAAGCAUAAUGUGUAACAUGGAAUGGGAUUUCAGAAAGUUGAAGGACAUAAAAGGAAAUAGGAGCAAAAACAAGGUUUGGGAAAUUGUGUGUUAGAGCUUGAAAAUAGGAAAGAAGCUGAGUGCUAGCUAACAGUGAAGAUGGCAGCUCAAGGAUGGUUUUAUAAUGAAGCGGAGAAAAUUGAUUUUACUUAUUUUACUCUGUAUAGCUUUGUUCCAGGUAUGCGAAGGAGAGUGUGGGAAAGAUCAUUUUAGGGUGAAAAAUAUCCAGUGCAUUGGCAGUGCUUUUUAACAAUGAGGAUGAACUGGGAAGGAGACUGCCUUUUUAAAGAUUAAAAAAUGGCUCAGGGGUGAGUGGCUGAGCAUGCUAGGAGUCUUCAUACAAAAUUGCAGGUGGUUGCAGGUGCAUCAGAGAAGACGACGAUAUUAAUAUUCAUGGCGCUAGAGAGGACAUGAGGGGGCUAUGAAAGAAAGAGGGGUGAUGUAUCGUUAUGGUGAAAGUAUACAGAGGGGCAUAGAGAAGCAAAUCUCACUCUCUCUUUAGAGACAGUACAGGAGAUGUUUUUUGGGAGCAAGAUCAAAAUUUCCCAAGAACUGCUCAGUGCAAUUCAUCAGUAAGUAGAGAAAUUCGGAGGUUUUUCUAUAGGAAAUUGAGUUGUUUGAAUUUUUUUUUGGUAAAGAAGGCCUGAGGUUUCUCUAGAAUGUUUUGAUGCAUUUGUUUAAAUUGAAUGUCGAUGACUGAUAAGUGCUGGAACUAACUGAUACAUCUGUGCACUUGGGGCCAAAACUCAAGAAAAUUCCAUUGGAACAUCAACUGCCUUGGAAUAGUACAGUCUCACCUUUCAGAAAGUGGAAUGACUAAGUAGUAUAAUGGCAGAAUUUAUUUCCAGGAAAUGUACUAGGAGGAGAUAUUCAUGAAGGGAGAAUGAACAUUAUUAAGGCUAAGGGCCAUGGUUAAAAGAGAAUUUGUCAAGACAAGAAAUGUUUCAGGAAAAGUGUUUCCCUGAGUUAUCUCAGAUGAUUGACACAAACAUUCAUAAGAUAUUUUUCUUCAAAGGUUUAGAAGCCAAGAAUGACAAAAUCUAAAUCCAUUUUACUUUUGAUAGCCACUUGGGUUUAAAACAUUAAUUGAUUAACAUUGACUUCAUCUGGUUUAUUUGCUUUAUUUCCUAAAUACCCAGUAUGUGACUAAGGCCACAGGUAACUAAGUCUUUUAAUCUGCUAUGAAAUGUUCUCAUGUGAAAGACUACUCUCAGGGUUGUCAAGAUAGUAAGAGCAAUACAUGUUUUUGUCACCCUUUCAUCAGUUGCCAUUUAACUAAUCAGAAAUAACUGAACAGUUGAUUUACAGGCUUUGUUUCCUUAUUUGUGGAAAAGACAAGCUACAGCCAGAAGCAAAUCUGUAGUCAGUCAAGAGUUGUUAGGCAAUAUUUGUAACCUAUUAGUCUAGGCCAAUCUGAAAAUACUAUGAAAUGAUGGAAUUUCAAGUAACGAGGUAGCAUUUGUUUCUCAUUUUGUUUGUACCUUAUGUUUUCUGUGCAAAACUUCCAGUUACUGAGCUGAAUGCUUUUUUCGCCUAAGUAGUCAAGAUAAUGAGAGUCUUCACUAUGCUUGAGGAGCGAUGUACUGUGGUUCAUUUUGAAUUAAAGCUGUUCUUACAAUAAAACUCAUUUUCCAAUGUACUCUGCUAUGUGG
ensembl:lncRNA